GCGGGCGUAGCCGAAUUGGUACAGGCGCACGGCUUAGGACCGUGUGGCGUAAGCCAUAAGGGUUCGAGUCCCUUCGCCCGCA
rnacentral:tRNA from 1 species